rnacentral:rRNA from 1 species
AAUAUGGGACAAUGGGGGCAACCCUGAUCCAGCCAUGCCGCGUGUGUGAAGAAGGUCNNNGGAUUNUCAAGCACGUUAAGUUGNGACNAAGGGCUUGUGGCUAAUACCCUUAAUUUUUCACGUUACCAACAGAAUAAGCACCGGCUAAUUCUGUGCCAGCAGCCGCGGUAAUACAGAGGGUGCAAGCGUUAAUCGGAAUUACUGGGCGUAAAGCGCGGGUAAGUGGUUCAGUAAGAUGGGUGUGAAAUCCCCGGGCUUAACCUGGGAACUGCUUUCAUAACUGCUGAGCUAGAGUACGGUAGAGGGUAGUUGAAUUUCCUGUGUAGCGGUGAAAUGCGUAGAUAUAGGAAGGAACACCAGUGGCGAAGGCGACUACCUGGACUGAUACUGACACUGAGGUGCGAAAGCGUGGGGAGCAAAC